AUUGAACGCUGGCGGCAGGCCUAACACAUGCAAGUCGAGCGAGCGGCGGACGGGUGAGUAACGUCUGGGAAUCUGCCUGAUGGAGGAGGAUAACUACUGGAAAAGGUAGCUAAUACCGCAUACUAACGGAUGAACCCAGAUGGGAUGAGCUAGUAGGUGGGGGAAAGGGUCACCUAGGCGACGAACGCUAGCUGGUCUGAGAGGAUGGUCAGCCACACUGGGACUGAGACACGGCCCAGGCUCCUACGGGAGGCAGCAGUGGGGAAUAUUGCACAAUGGGCGCAAGCCUGAGUCAGCCAUGCCGCGUGGAUGAAGAAGGCCUUAGGGUUGUAAAGUACUUUCAGCGGUGAGGCGUUACCCGCAGAAGAAGCACCGGCUAACGCCGUGCCAGCAGCCGCGGUAAUUC
rnacentral:rRNA from 1 species